CCACCUGCUAAGCUGCCUUUAGUGCCUCUCAUUGGCAGAAGCUAACAGGAAGUCAGCUGGCAAGGGAGCUGAAAAAUGUGGCUUGCAGACCCUAGCCCCAGCAUCUCAGAGCAGAUUAUAGAAGGGUGAGCGUAGACCAGAAACCAGAGGUGCCUGGAGGGAUCAGCAAACUGAGAUCAUUGGAGUUCAUACUUAGGGCAUGGUGUUUUCUCGGGAACCUGGGUGACUCAAACCUGGACUAUCAUUCAGCUACCCGGGAGGCUGAGGCAGAACAGCUUGAGCCCAGGA
rnacentral:lncRNA from 1 species